rnacentral:rRNA from 1 species
UACAGAGGUCUCAAGCGUUGUUCGGAUUCAUUGGGGCGUAAAGGGUGCGUAGGCGGCGCGGUAAGUCGGGUGUGAAAAUCUCGGAGCUUAACUCCGAAACUGACAUUCGAUACUGCCGUGCUUGAGGGACUGGAGAGGAGACUGGGAAAUUUUCCGGUGUAGCGGUGAAAUGCGUAGAUAUCGGAAAGGAACACCUGUGGCGAAAGCGGCUCACUGGACCAUAACUGACGACUGA